rnacentral:rRNA from 1 species
UACGUAGGGUGCAAGCGUUAUCCGGAAUUAUUGGGCGUAAAGAGCUCGUAGGCGGUUUGUCGCGUCUGCUGUGAAACUGGAGGCUCAACCUCCAGCCUGCAGUGGGUACGGGCAGACUAGAGUGCGGUAGGGAGAUUGGAAUUCCUGGUGUAGCGGUGGAAUGCGCAGAUAGUCGAGGAGGAACACCGAUGGCGAAGGCAGAG